CGAACGCUGGCGGCGUGCCUAAUACAUGCAAGUAGAACGCUGAAGGAGGAGCUUGCUUCUCCGGAUGAGUUGCGAACGGGUGAGUAACGCGUAGGUAACCUGCCUGGUAGCGGGGGAUAACUAUUGGAAACGAUAGCUAAUACCGCAUAACAGUAGAUAUUGCAUGAUAUCUGCUUGAAAGGUGCAAUUGCAUCACUACCAGAUGGACCUGCGUUGUAUUAGCUAGUUGGUGAGGUAACGGCUCACCAAGGCGACGAUACAUAGCCGACCUGAGAGGGUGAUCGGCCACACUGGGACUGAGACACGGCCCAGACUCCUACGGGAGGCAGCAGUAGGGAAUCUUCGGCAAUGGACGGAAGUCUGACCGAGCAACGCCGCGUGAGUGAAGAAGGUUUUCGGAUCGUAAAGCUCUGUUGUAAGAGAAGAACGAGUGUGAGAGUGAAAAGUUCACACUGUGACGGUAUCUUACCAGAAAGGGACGGCUAACUACGUG
rnacentral:rRNA from 1 species